rnacentral:misc_RNA from 1 species
UUUGUCUCACUGAAAUCUAUGUCUGUUCAUGGAGCAACUAAAGGAGCAAUCAACCAACUAACAAAAAAUUUGGCUUGUGAGUGGGCAAAAGACAACAUAAGAAGUAAUGCUGUUGCACCUUGGUACAUCAAAACCUCUAUGGUGGAACAAAUCCUCAGCAAUGAGGCAUAUUUAGAAGAGGUAUAUUCUAGAACUCCUCUUCGGCGCCUUGGGGAUGCAACAGAGGUUUCAUCUGUGGUGGCAUUCCUUUGUUUACCUGCAUCAUCUUACAUCACUGGCCAGAUUAUUUGUGUUGAUGGAGGAAUGUCUGUGAAUGGUUUCUUCCCAAGUCAUGGUUAGAAGUGAUUACUUUAUUGAUUACCACCCUUCCCAUGAGAAGAUGAGCUUUGUGAUUGGGUAAAUAUUAGCUUCUGAGUUCCUGUUGAGAACCCUCAGAGCCAAAGGAGAUCUUACCAGUGACCUGCUAUGGCAAUCCUUCUCAUUUUAAUAACUACUUGGCUAUAGUUUUUCCUUUGCCUUUACUGGGUCUUUCUCACUUGUAUCAGUUCCUCUAUCUCUUUCAUGUGAAGCCUGAUUUUACUUUCAUUCCAUGGGGGUUUCCUGUUGUAUGAUUGACAAAUUUGCAUUGUGAGCAAUGUUUCUAAUGAGGAAAGUAAGUUAAUUGGAAAAACUAUAGCCAAGUAGUUAUUAAANCAACAGGAACUCAGAAGCUAAUAUUUACCCAAUCACAAUGCUCAUCUUCUCAUGGGAAGGG